UGCCAGCAGCCGCGGUAAUACGGAGGGGGUUAGCGUUGUUCGGAAUUACUGGGCGUAAAGCGCACGUAGGCGGAUCAGAAAGUUGGGGGUGAAAUCCCGGGGCUCAACCCCGGAACUGCCUCUGAUACUGGUAGUCUUGAGUUCGAGAGAGGUGAGUGGAAUUCCGAGUGUAGAGGUGAAAUUCGUAGAUAUCAGGAGGAACACCGAUGGCGAAGGCGGCUAACUGGCUCGGUACUGACGCUGAGAUGCGAAAGCGUGGGGAGCAAACAGGAUUAGAUA
rnacentral:rRNA from 1 species